AUGCAUAUGAUGAAUUAACUCGGAUUCCCCUUCAAGACAUAUUGGGUGAUGUAAAAUCGAGUUUCUGAUGCA
rnacentral:snoRNA from 13 species